ACACGUAGGGGCCUGACGUUGUUCGGAAUCAUUGGGCGUAAAGGGCGCGCAGGCGGCCGUCCAAGUCCGGUGUUAAAUGGUCGGGCUCAACCCGAUCAUGCGCUGGAAACUGGGCGGCUGGAGUCCCGGAGGGGAUGCCGGAAUUCCAGGUGUAGGGGUGAAAUCUGUAGAUAUCUGGAAGAACACCGAUGGCGAAGGCAGGCAUCUGGCCGGAGACUGACGCUGAGGCGCGAAGGCGCGGGGAGCGAACAGGUUUAGAUACCCUGGUAGUCCGCGCAGUAAACGAUGCGCACCAGGUGUCGGGCGGCAGCGCCCGGUACCGGAGCAAACGCGAUGAGUGCGCCGCCUGGGGAGUAUGCCCGCAAGGGUGAAACUCAAAUGAAUCGACGGGG
rnacentral:rRNA from 1 species